CCCUUAGAUGUCCUGGGCUGCACGCGUGCUACACUGAUUUCAUCAAUAUGUUUGUUUUUCGGAAGAACGAAUAAAACACGAAAUGAAAUCGUGCUGGGAAUAGAUAAUUGUAAUUAUUUAUCUUGAACGAGGAAUUCCUAGUAAACGCAAGUCAUCAGCUUGCAUUGAUUACGUCCCUGCCCUUUGUACACACCGCCCGUCGCACCUACCGAUUGAAUGGUCCGGUGAAAUCUCGGGACGGCGGCUCGGUCGCUUGCGUCCGACUGCUGAAACUUGAUUAAACCAUAUCAUUUAGAGGAAGGUGAAGUCGUAACA
rnacentral:rRNA from 1 species